rnacentral:rRNA from 1 species
CCCUUAGAUGUUCUGGGCCGCACGCGCGCUACACUGAUGCAUGCAACGAGUUCUAUCCUUGGCCGGAAGGCCUGGGUAAUCUGUGAACGUGCAUCGUGAUAGGGAUAGAUUAUUGCAAUUAUUAAUCUUGAACGAGGAAUUCCUAGUAAACGCAAGUCAUCAGCUUGCAUUGAUUACGUCCCUGCCCUUUGUACACACCGCCCGUCGCACCUACCGAUCGAAGGUAAUGAUGAGCCCUCAGGAUUGUGGCCUCGUCGCGUCAGCGCCUUGGCUGCGAGAAUCUGUGCAAAUCCCUACCUUUAGAGGAAGGUGAAGUCGUAACA